CUUUUUUUCCUUCUUUUUUUUUUUGCUUUAUACGCCGUUCGCCUCCCCUAGCCCUCUCCUUCCCUAGCCCUCUCCUUUUUCCUCUCUUCCACAUCCGCCUGUUCGCAUUACUACGGUCCUCCCCAUCCCCUCUCUCGCUCGCGCACCCUCUUCACCUCCCUCAGCCACCACGCCCUCCGCCCCUCCGCCCUUUUCUUGCUUACCUUCGAUGCUCUUGAGGGCUCCUUCCUCGACCACCUCCGCCGCCACAGCAACAACCGCCUCGGCCGCCACACCAACUCAACAAAACCAAGGCCACAGAUCCUGACGGUAUGUAGAUCCUAGGGUUCGGCCACACGCAAUGGGAAUACUAUGCGGAUCGCGGCCACAGUCACUAUCUUCGGGAAAAGCUUGAACCCCACGGAGGCUGCGGAUCUGAGGAGUAAGAAAUGCUUCCCCCAAGGAGAUCAAGGUGGACACCAAGGCUGAGAUGGAGAUCGGGUGCUUCAAGUCGAAGCGGAAUGGGAUUAGGGUUUCGUGUAGCGGAUUCGAUGCCGCAAUCACGAAUGCCAAGGCAAACGCCCUCGACCUCAAUUGCCAAGUGUUGAAUUAGGGAGCUCGAAGAGCUUGAAGAGAAGGUGGACGACCUCCUGUCAAAGCUGUCUGAAAUGCCUUCACAGAAAGAAGACUUUUUGCCUUUUGAUGCUACUGUUCUUUGUGUCGAUGAAUUAGAGGCCUAGCUGAUCAUUACUAAAUAAGGCUUUACAUGAAUCUUUCAUGAAGCAUAAGCAACUGCUCGCAUUUAUCAAUCGCCAAGUGUAAGCCCCAGAUCAGGGUGCAGCAGCAAGUGGUAUCGGGAGGUGGAGAGUUGUCUGCGCACUCAUGAGUCAACAAUUUUUAUUAGUUAUGAUGUUUAUCCUCAUGGUAAAAUCUGCUACUCUGGAUACAUGACUACCGGUUUAAAGGUUCCAGAUCUCUCCUCCAUCUUGCCCAUUUUUUCUUGAUGGUUUGGUACUUUUAAGAAUUUUUAAUGUGAUUUGGUGCAAAUUAGAGUAUUAAGAUUAGAUUUUUUAUAGGAAUUGGAUUUUUUUUUUUUUUCGGUAUACAUCCAGCCUCUUGGUACCAGUGAUGGAGGUUUCUUCAAGUUGGGGCUAAAAUUGUAUGACAACGAUGAUAAGAAACAACAUGAAAUCAGUUUGGAGGGAUCAUAGAGGGGAUUUAGAUGUUGAUUAGGGGAUAAAGGUGGGAUUUUUAAGGAAAAAAUAAGAUGGGAAAUAAUAUGAAGUGGAUUUUGAGGGGUUCCAGAUAGGGACAUUGAUCUAUUUUUGAGAUGAUUUUUUUGAAGAAAUUGGGAUUAAAUUGUAUGAAAAUAAGGAUAAAAAAUAAUAUAAAAUGGGAUUUGGGGGUUUUAAAAGGGAUUUUUUUUAUGUAAAAUUGCAAAUAAAAAGGGAAUUUUUUGUUAAAAAUGAUCUUUUUGUUGAACCUGAGAUCAGUUUUGAAAAAAUUGCAGAGUUUUUAGAGAGAAAUUGGAUAUGAAUCUUUUUACAAUAUCUAAAUUGAAGUAUUUAAGAUUUGAUAUUAUGAAAAUAGUUAAAUUUGGCUAUAGGAGACCAAUUGAAUUGCCUUUUAAUAUCUUAUUAUCUUCAUACUGUAAAAGAGGUCCUUAUAAUCUCUAAUAUAUUCUUUUUUAAUUUGAAUUAUUUUUCAACUGUUAGAAACAUGGUCUCCAGAUUACUCAUGUCUAUAUUAUGGAAAUGCUACAAUUGCUACAACAUUAUAUCAUGUGGGUAGGUUGAGAAUGGGUGUGCUUCGGCCAAUCUUUUUUUUCCGAAGAGAGUGGUAAAACAAGGAAAGUUGAGGAAGGAAAGUUGAGGAAGAUGUGUGUGCUUCGGCCAUUUUUUUUUUCUCAAAAAGAGAUUAGAUAAACUGACGUACCUUUUUCUUUGUCAAAUAAAUAGCUAAUACCAAUUUUUUUUUUGCAUUAUUUAUACAUACUUUAGCAUGCGAACUAAAAGUUUUAAGAUUCUUCAGUUUGUAUAUUAGAAUCAUGUAUUACAUCUUUAGUAUUCACUCCAUCUACGAUAAUUGGGCUAUUGUGAUACAGGUAUGGAAUUCUUAGUGCUGUUUUUUUUUUAGCUCUUGAUUGAUUUUUAGAACUAAAUAUACUUUUUUUUGUCAUCUAUUUAGGAAAAAAAGGUAGAAUUUUACCAAGCUUUGCAUUGUUAGAAACCUGAACUUGAUAUUAUUUUAUGCCAUGGUAAACUAAAAUGUCAGAAGUGUUGACGUGCGCUAUGCUACAAAGUGGAUCAAAUUAUGAGAGGUUUUGUUUUCAUAGUUAGACAAUUUUUGCUCUGUCAGAAGCAGAAAUUUUCUAUCAGGCAAUUAACAUCUCAAGCCUCUUCUCUUUUGUUUGAGUUAUUUUUUUUAGUAACAUGAUAUUUUUUUAAUAAAAAUAAUUAGAUGACAUAGUAAAUUUAAUUCUUAAUAAAUAAGCAUUCGGCUCUCCAUGUCAUAUCAGGUUUAUUAUAGUUUUUGACAUUUAUUUGGAAAACUUAAUUGUAAGUUGGUGUAUACUUAAACAUACAGAUGUAGAACUAAUUUACAUUCAAUGUUGUCCCAUUUUAGGAUUAUUUACAGUUGAUUCAUCUAAUAAACAUUGAAUACUAAAAGAAUAAACAAUAGAAAGAAAACUAAAGAUAAAAUUUACAUGCUUAUGCAUAAAUUUGUGUCACUUAAAAAAAAAAAAAGUACAAAUGCAUAAUUUGCUCAAAAUUGUAAAAGCAUAUGAUGGGCUUUUUUGUGGAAAAAGUAUUUGUACAUCAUAAUAUGUCCAACAAAGAAAUAUGAGAGUAGGUGGUUAAUAUUAUGAAAGAAGAAUAUGUUAACGAAAAAAAUAAAAAUAGUUAGCCAAUCAAAGAUAAGGGUCAAAUACAAGCAUCAUCAUCUAUUUUUUCAAUAUGUUUUCGUUAAACAAUUUGCUUUGCUGAUGAAGUUUCAGGAGAAUGAACAACUGAAGAACGAAUGAAAGCUAUUAUGCACAUCUGUAGAAUAUGAUAUCCAUUUUGGGUUUUGAAAUUUUUUCGGUGCUUUUCUAUGAAUGUCUGAUUAAUUCACUUGUUUGUAAAUUUUCAGGACUAUGUAUUAAUGAGAAAGAGGAGUCAUAACAAAUAAAGUUGUGUUCUUUCUUA